rnacentral:lncRNA from 1 species
GCAAACACUGGUUUAGGUUCUUUUGCACACUUAUGUACUUCUUCUCUCUUCAUCCACCUAUUAUUACUUCUUUGAUUGUAUUUGUUUCUUACCACCUGAGCAUAUGACGUUUGGUCAUCUUUUGCAUGCAUGCCUCAUUUUUGACAUUGUUGAUUUUCCAUGAAGGAUGCUGGACUCUUUUGUGAGUUCACCACCUCCUCAUUGUUCAUUCUUUCCUGAUGAUAUAUGUUCCUUCUUCCCACAAUCCCUCUUUCGUCCCUGCUCCCCCUAUGAUGGCUUAGAACAUUUGCAUAAAUCUUCUUAUUUCCUAAGAUAAUAUUGUCUAAUUUUACUGCUAUAAUCCUUACAUCUUCGACAUUUUUUAAUCUAACAAACCUAUAUCGCUUUCCUCUCUUGUCUUUCUUUGGUUGGAUCACUACUUUAUUGGUUUCCCCGAAAUCCUUGAAUAUUGAGUAUAUCUCCUUUGCUCCAAAUGCAUAUGGAACUUAUGUAAAGAAAAAUGUUGAAGUUUUAUACUUUUCUCCACGUUUUCU